rnacentral:rRNA from 1 species
UACAGAGGGGGCGAAGCGUUGUUCGGAAUUACUGGGCGUAAAGGGCGCGUAGGCGGCCAACUAAGUCAGACGUGAAAUCCCUCGGCUCAACCGGGGAACUGCGUCUGAUACUGGAUGGCUUGAAUUCGGGAGAGGGAUGCGGAAUUCCAGGUGGUAGCGGUGAAAUGCGUGAGAUAUCUGGAGGAACACCGGGUGGCGAAGGCGGCAUCCUGGACCGAGAUUGACGCUGACUGCGCGAAAGCCAGGGGAGCAA